UACAGUUAUUUGUUUUAUUGCAAAACUAUUGAUUACAGUUUAUUUUAGGUGCUUUAAACCAUUUAGAAUAAACAUUUUCCUUAUUAAUUUUCACGUAAAGAAGAUAUGUUUUCAAUCAAUCUAUUCAGUGAUGGUGUACAUAGCUCUGGAGCAGGUGAGAUUGGAACCCCUGACUUCUGCAGCGUAGGAACGUGUGCUGGCAACAAGGUGUGAAUGACGUCAUCGCGUUAGCCGCUUGCGCGUGGUGCAAUCGCGUCUGUUGCUUGGGGAUUGCGCGCGCAUCAGUCGGGCGCUAGGACCCCGCACCGGCACAGGAUGGGCCCCUUCUUCGCCGGUGUCCUUGCUGCUUUAUUUACGCUCAUCGUGAGCCAGAACCAACCGUCAACCUCCCGGGACCGGCCCUUCAGUAUCCUGAGGCAACAAAACCUCGCUCUGACUGUCAGUGUUUUGAGCAUUCUGCUACUCAUCAUGAUUUUAAUGAUGAUUUGCGUGUACAAACCCAUCCGUCGUCGAUAAAAGAUUGUUUCUUCAUGGAAUGCCUGCUAAAUGGACGCUUUUGUAUUUAAUAUCUGGAAGGAUAAAACUUGCAUUCCAAUUGGCAAAUCAACUGCUUGUGCAGCUCAAGAUUUCAGUACAAUAUGUAUUUUGGUAUCUUUAUUUGCUGCACUGUGAACACUUGGAACCUUUUUAAUGAGCCAGCUGCUCUCUUACACAAGAUGUGGUCAAGUGUCAAUACGUACAAAUCUAGUUACAAGUGAAUAUGGUACAGGUCAAGCAAACUGCAAAAAGGUCCUGUGAAAUUAAACUUGAAAGAAUUUGGUGUUAGGGAGGACAGAUGUACAUACUUACUCUUAAUGUUUACAAUUUAGUCAUACACACUGGGAACUGAGAUUUAUUACAUACUUUACUGUUGCUAUAAGAGGUCAGAUGUUUUAUAUUUGUGAUUACAAAUAGGUCAUGGUAACCAACUGACAUUACAUUUAUCUGUUUUUGUUUUUACGCUAUCCCAGCACCUUAUGCUAUAGUUCCCAUUGCUGCUCUUGGUGCUGUUGAGGAGGCAGGUGAUUGAUCUGAAGGGCUACCUUUUCCUUUUGCUACCCAGCUUGUGUGUAAAGGAUGUAGUCUGUGCACUUCAGAAAACAGAACUAAGGUCUGGGAGUCAUCCUGUGCUGAAAGGAAGGCAAGAUCUGCACACUUAACAUGAUCAAUGUGCCAUCUUCAGUUAUUUAUUUUGUUUCCACAUUGUAGAAAAACACUUCUGUUUAUGGUCCAUGGUGAAGCUUUGUUUGAAAUCAGUGAAAUAGCUGGCAGAAUCAUGUACCUCAUUAACAUGUGAAAUUAUUCUUGCCUAAAUAUACACUAUAUAAUUUACAAUUGGCACCAUUACUCAUUACCGUAAUGCCCCUUCAACCAUUCACUGCCCGCUCCAAAGAAAUCACGUAGAAAUAAAGAAAAGGAUUAAACCAGAACAUUGUUACUGUAAAACAAAUAUACACUACAUUUGAAGGAUCACAAGCCGAGUCAUUGCCAUAAUUUUGUUUUGCAUUGGGAUUUGAAUUUCUCUGAGGAUUUCGGGAUAAUGCAGUCACUUUUCCAAAAAAAAAUUAAGUAGCAAAUAUUGAUAAGUUCUAAUGUAAAAGGUUAGUAAACUCUAUGACUGACCACCUAGAUAAAUAAGAACUGGAUUCAAUUUUCAAAAAUUACUACAAUCAAAAAGCUGCACCUACUGGAAAUCCGCAAUCAAAAUAGGAAAAACUGGAAUACUCAACAGCUCACAAUAUCAUCUGUGAAAAACAGAAUGCAGUUAAUGUUUCAGGUCUUCAUUCAGUCUUAAGGAAAAAGUCAUUAACCUGCUUCUGUUUCUCCAGAAAUGCUGUCUAAUCUGCUAAGCAUUUUAAAUUAAAAAUGUUUUGUUCAGGUUAAGCUUUAUAUACAUAUUGGAGUCGAAUUGUGGCAGUUAGAUAAUAUCAAAACUUUUUUUUUGAAAAAAGUGCUAAAGAUUAAUUUUAAACCUUGUUGACUAUCAUCGACAAUAAUAUACAGUUUUACCUGUGAAUGUUGAAUAGUCCCUUUUAAAUUUUUAAAUUGUUCAUCUGUAACUAGCCACAAAUUUUCUUCCUAAUUUGUUGACACAUUGCACUACGGGAUGAAAACCUUGUGAUAUUUUGAUACUGUUCCUGUUAAUUUAUAACAAUUAUGUCUGAGAAAAUGUUCCGAUUUAAAGCAGAUUUACAAAGCCAGGCAUUAAAUGGGUUUAUUUGCCAUAACUACAAAAUUGUAGAUUUGAGGCUUCUAUUGGGGUGUUUUGAUUUUUUUUAGUUUAAAAAAAAAAUGUCUUUUUAUUGUUGCUUGUUUCGGUUCUUUUGACAAUAUUCAUAUUUUCUGAUGUAUUUUUUAAUGUAAUGGUACUAUGAGAAACGUUUUUCCCAGAAUGUAGUUUCUUCAAAGCAGUUCAGAAAAGGUUAACUAGGCUGAUUCUUAGUAUGAAGAAGUUGCCUAAUGAGGCAAGUUGAGCCUAUACUUAUUGGAUACAUGAGGGGUGAUCCUUUUGAAGCAUAAACGAUUCUGAGGGGGAGCCUUGACUAGAUAGAUGUUACAGAUAUUUUUCCUGAUGGGGGAAUUUGGAAAGAGGGAGCACAGUUUCAAUGUAAGGGGUCUUCCAUUUAAAUUUGAGAUGAAGAGGAAUUAUUUCAUUAGAGAUUAGGUAAAUAAAUGUAUUCAGCACUGAAUUAUGCUGAUCUUUUUUUGAUCCACAGGAAAGUAAAGGGUUAUGUUGGGGACACUAGCAGGAAACUGGAGUUGACACUAUCAAAUAAUGGUCUAUGUAAUUGAAUGUCAGAUUAGACUCUGCUCCAAUUUGUUGUAACAUUUGAAUGAGCCUUCCUUGUUUCCUGUUCCAAAGUCAGCUUAAGACUUGAGAAAAACACUAAUCUAUUUUUAGAAGAGCAAGCACUUUGACUGACAUCUUUGAUUUGACUGACAUCUGUUUGGUUUGUACUUCACCAAAACCAUAUCAAUCUUAAUGAAAAGUUUAGAAGAUAACCAAGUGAGGCUACAAACUCAACACUCUUAAACUGUGCACCAAUGUGAACCUGUUUUGUCCAUGUGUUAUGUAUCUCUUGGCAUAUUUGAGUUUAAAGUAAUCUAGUGUAAUUUAUGCUGUGUUCGUGCCACUAAAACUUAUCAUCUGAUUUUGCACUGAUUGUUAACAUAAGCAUGAACUGGAAUUUUUGUUUUUUUUUUUAAAUACUUUUUGCACACUCUACAAAUUAUUUUUUUGAUAAAGUUUAGUCUGUCUGUCAUUAUUGUAGCUGAAAUGUGUUGUAUCCAAUAGUGGUCUUUGUGAAAGAUGGGUAUUUUGUGUGGAUUUUGCUUCUGUAAUUCCUUUUUCUUCAGUGAGGUACUGUUGACUGAUUUGCUUUCUCUUGGUACUAUACAUUUUUGGAAUGUUGCUGCUCUAAUUUCAGCAGAGUGGUAGUGUCUUAUUUUCCUGCAAUGUUCUGCCUGUUAACUUUCUUACAUCAUGCUUUUAUUCUGAGCAGAUCUUUCAGUUGAGCUUUACAAGAUCCAUGAAAAGUUGGGUUUCUAUCGCUGGUACGUUGGAAUUGUGAAGUGCUGUUAACUGUAUUCUUUGAUGUGGCUGAGUGCUGAGAUUCAUGGUCCAAGGUGUUGCUUUAUUGUUUGAGUAAUUCUUCAUUCCGAACAGAUGAAAAUCCAUUUUGCACCUUUCUUUCUAAAAUUCUUGUUUCAAAUUGUCUUUUUGUUUUUUACGCUUCAGAAUCUGGAAAGACAUGAAGCUGAACCAAACUGGAGAAUUAAAAAAAAUGCUAUGAGACUGACUGGUUUUGUACAAAGUAAUGAAGAUGAGUUAAUUGAUUAACUUUAAGUUGAGGAAAGUAUUGAGGAAGUAUACUGUUUGAAUUAAGGUUGACAUUAAUGAAAUCUAAUUCCUUGUGGAAUAAGGAAGAGGAGAUGAGAGAUGCAAUUUUAUGAGGGAAAAGGGAGAAAUUUAUUGAAAUUAGGUGGGAAGGUUUGAGAAAGUGAGAAAGACGUAUUUUAAAUGGGGAAGAAGAAGGUAGGUUAUAUUUAAAUUUAGGAUAGCUUCCUUAAAAUUUAAAAUAUAAAAAUUUAUGGUUUUUGGCAGUUAUCUCCAAUUCCAGAAAAAAAAAUUUCUUCAGACGACUAGUUUUGAGAAGAUUUGUAGCUCAGGUUGAGGUUUUGGAUGUAUGUUUGCUCGCUGCGUCCAUAAUUAUUGCUGUGUAUGUGGCUUACGGACUUAAGGAUCGCAAAUUAUAUUUCUGCUGUUUCUGUUUCAAUAGUAGUUGUUUCAUUUUGGAAUCUAUUUUCACCUAUAAUUCACACGUGCAUGUUUAAGUAGAAUCUAGUGAAUGUGUUUCCUUUCCUCCUCCAUUAUUUAUGGAUGAUCAAGCCUUGGUAAUGCUUUGAAAGCUUCUUUUGGUGUGGUCACUUAUUUAGUGAAGAGAAAAUGAGGUCUGCAGAUUAAGAUUAGCCUGCUGGACAAACUUUCCUCAUUCCUGAAGAAGGGCUAAUGCCCGAAACGUCGAUUCUCCUGUUCCCUAGAUGCUGCCUGACCUGCUGCGCUUCUCCAGCAACACAUUUCCAUCUCACUUAUUUAGUGCACAAUGGGGAUUAAGCCUUAGCCAUCUACCACCACCCUCCUCCGUCUGGCCAAACUCAUCCUCACUUUCAGCAAGCUCUUUAGUUCCUCUCACUUUCUUAGGUUAAAAGGUUUAGCCAUGGGUUCCUGCAUAGGCUCCAAGAAUGUCAGUCUCUUUGUGGGGUAUAUAAACAUUCGUUGUUCCAGUCCCUACCUACCACACUUUCACUAGUGCAAUGAUGUUAUCGGUGCUGCUUCUCUCUCCCACCAAAACUGGAAAAAUUGAUGAAUUUUGUUUUCAAUUUCCAAUCUGCUCUCGCCUUCAUCUGGACCAUUUAUGACUUCUCCUUUCCCUUGACCUCUCUGUUUCCAUUUCUGGGGAUAGGCUGACCACCAGUAUCCGUUACAAGCUCACAGUUUCCCAAAGUUACCUUGCUUCUUGUGAGGACUCUAUCCAUUCUGCAAAUUUUUUCAUCUCCUUCAUAGCUGUUCUGAUGAUGCUGCCUUUCACAGGAGGGCCUCAGAAAUGUUCCACUUUUUCCUUAACCGAGGAUUCCCCACCACCUUGGUUGUCGAGGCCCUCAGUUGUGUCUGACUCAUCCCCACACUUCAGCCCUCACCCCUUUCAUCCUCUUCCACAAACAUGAUAGGGUUCUCCACCUCACUAGCCUCUGUCUCCAAAGGAUUGUAAACUACAUUUCCACCACCUCCAUUGGGGUGCCAUCACCAGACACAUGUUCCCCUCCCCUCCCUUGUCAGAAUUCUGCAGGGACCGUUCUCUCCAAAACACCCGGAUGCACCCCUCCACUCCCAACACAACCUUACAGCGCCUUCCCAUGCAGUCGCAGAAGGUGCAACACUUGCCUGUUUAUCUCCUCCCUCCUCACUAUCUAAGGCACCAGACACACCAUUCAGGUGAAGCAACAAUUUGCCCGCACAUCAUUCAAUCUAGUCUAAUGUAUUCAGUGUUCAGUGGCUUUUAAAAUUGUGGUGGGACAUCUAUUCUGUACACUUGAAUCAACUUAUCAGUUCUAAAGAUCUAGUAUGAAGGCAAAGCAGUUAAGAGCAAUUGUAAGCCCUGGCUGAAAUGGUUGAAGCUUUUCAAAGGCCCUGCAACUUAUACAAAGGAUUAAAACCUAAUUUGUGGAAUAAUUUUAUGCUAUUGAAAGGAUAGCUAUCAUGUAUAGUUGAUGGUGCAAUGUUCUGUAUGUAAUAGGUGCAUUGAGACUAAUUGUUUUGAAUGUGGAAAGUUAGUGAUUAUUUGGUUUUGUAAAUUGCAGCAUUGAUGAACUUCGAGUGGUUUUGUUUCAAUGUUAGCAUUAUUGUUACUUUUAUGUCUUAUUGUUACUUAUGUGUUUUAUUAAUUAUUACUGAAUAUAUAAAAAUGGGAGCAGCCAUCUUGGUCCAUCUCCCAUUUCAUUGACUUAUGAAUUUUUGCAAAGUUAAAUUAAUUCUGUGAUUCAAUAAACUUGAUGUUUACUAAUCUUUGUAAAAUAUUGUGUAUUUACCCAUCCAAACAUAUUGUAGAACUUCCUCUUGAAUGUAUUGAGAAACAGAACUGGAGUUACAUUUGACUUGGGUUUUUUUGUAUCAGAUAUUCAUAAGUAAAAUGUGGCUCAUUUCACAACUAGA